AGAACCUUGUUGGGUCGUCCUAAGAGGUACGUGUCGCGUUUUAAGGAAGAGGCGAAGUCGUCUUCUCCCUUCUUCUCUGCUUCUCCGCCGAUUGCAGGUUUGCGUGAUUGAGCUUCGUCAGAGACGGCCAGCGAUGAUGGGUCAGAAAGAAACUGGUGGGUGACAGAGCAGAGGUCGAUCAUCAAUAAUCAUCCUUCACAACUCCAAGUUCUUCUUUCUCCUCAAGAUCCAAAGCUGCUCAAAGAUCUCUGCCCUCAACUCUGAUUAAGUCCUGAUCCUGUUUCGUUGGUUCGUGACCAUACCGUGAAGGAGAAGCUUGUGGAACGUGGUGUCUCUGUGCAAAGCUACAACGGUUUAUUACCCCACCAGCUCAGUAUAGAUCUCCACAAAGAGGAUUUAUGGCAAAGCAAAGGGAAAAGAUAGAGCAGAAGCAAGCGCAUAUGGAGGAGGACAGAAGCAAUGACCUCAGAGGCUGGACUCUCGGUUUGGAAACAUGAAGGAAGCGAGAAUGAGAAGGUUUGCAGACCAGGGUACGUACGUGAGUGACUAAUAAGAAACUUAUAAAAUCCUACCAAUAAACUCUAUUUUUAUGAUUGUCCUUACCAAAAUUUCUUAAGUACAAAGUAAUAAUAAAAUAUUUAAGGACUCAAA